GUUAAUUUCCAGGUUCUGCAUGGCAUUUUAACUGUGAAUGUCAAAAUACUGUAAGUUUUUACUGUAGUAAAAUAGACAGAUUUGUGUUUAAAGGAUAAUAUAGUGCCAGGAAUACCAUAGCUCCCUCUGAGGACCCACUCCCUUGCACCCCCUGCCACGGAGAGUAAAGGGUUAAAACCCUAUUACUUACCUGAUCCCAGCACCGAUGUAUCUCUGCACUGGGUUGUGGCUCUACCUUCUCUGACAUCACUUGACAAGGGGAUGCUAAUGCGCAUGCGUGGCAGGAGCUGCACGCGCAUUAGGCCCCCCAUAGGAAGGCAUUAAUCAAUACUUCCCUAUAGGGAAAUAGCUGACACUGGGUGUCCUCAUGCAGAGUGUGAGGACGUUCAGUGUCAGCGGACCAAAAGUCCGGUAACAUUUCAGAAGCUCUGUGGUUUCCCUAAAACUGCAAUGUUUUACAUUGCAGCACUGAGUGCAAUAGUGACACUGUACCCAGGACACUUCAAUGAGCUGAAGUGGUCUAGGUGCCUAUAGUGUCCCUUGAAGCACUGAUUCACAAGUACAACAGUAUCCCCCAUGUACAGGUUUUAUAGGAUUUUGGAAAGUUACAGGGUCCAAUAUAGUACAUUCCCCUUUUCAGUUUAUACACAUUGAAAUUUGCCAGAUUGGUUUUCUGGGCCUAUGCUGCCUUUGAGAUCGUACCCCCCAUCAUGGCAUACUAUUUGCAAAAGUAGGAAACCCAGGGUAGUCACAAACCCUGGCCAAAGUAAGUGUUCAUAUUUUAUGGUGUUUUUUUUUUUCUUUGCAUUUUUCACACACAAACUGCAGUUUCACUGAUGAUAUCAUUGUUACUAUACAUUUUACUGCUCUGAAACACUAGUAUUUGAGUUCAGCGUUGUCUUGUGUACAAUAGAUGCCCCUCCCACCCCAUGUACAGGAUGUAUGGAGUCAAAUAUACAGGGCAUGCAAAUUAAAUUCUCUCUGCUUUUUGUCUGGGUUAUCAAGCAGGUUCCCGAAUACAUAAGUA